GAUGAACGCUAGCGGCAGGCUUAAUACAUGCAAGUCGAGGGGUAGCAAGAUUGUAGCAAUACAAUUGUUGACGACCGGCAAACGGGUGCGGAACACGUACACAACCUUCCUACAAGUGGGGAAGAGCCCAGAGAAAUUUGGAUUAAUCCCCCGUAACAUAGCGAUGUGGCAUCACAUUGCUAUUAUAGCUUCGGCGCUUGUUGAUGGGUGUGCGGCUGAUUAGAUAGUUGGCGGGGUAACGGCCCACCAAGUCUACGAUCAGUAGCUGACGUGAGAGCAUGAUCAGCAACACGGGCACUGAGACACGGGCACGACUCCUACGGGAGGCAGCAGUAAGGAAUAUUGGACAAUGGACGCAAGUCUGAUCCAGCCAUGCCGCGUGAAGGAUUAAGGUCCUCUGGAUUGUAAACUUCUUUUAUAAGGGACGAAAAAAGGUCUUUCUAGAUCGUCUGACGGUACCUUAUGAAUAAGCACCGGCUAACUCCGUGCCAGCCGCCGCGGUAAGAC
rnacentral:rRNA from 1 species